CAGGGAUUGCCCUAGUAACGGCGAGUGAAGCGGCAACAGCUCAAAUUUGAAAUCUGGCUUCGGCCCGAGUUGUAAUUUGCAGAGGAUGUUUCUGGCGCGGUGCCUUCCGAGUUCCCUGGAACGGGACGCCACAGAGGGUGAGAGCCCCGUAUGGUUGGACACCAAGCCUGUGUGAAACUCCUUCGACGAGUCGAGUAGUUUGGGAAUGCUGCUCAAAAUGGGAGGUAAAUCUCUUCUAAAGCUAAAUACCGGCCAGAGACCGAUAGCGCACAAGUAGAGUGAUCGAAAGAUGAAAAGCACCUUGAAAAGGGGGUUAAACAGUACGUGAAAUUGUUGAAAGGGAAGCACUUGUGACCAGACUUGUGCCGGGCGGUUCAUCCGGGGUUCUCCCCGGUGCACUCCGCCCGGUAUAGGCCAGCAUCGGUUCUUUCUGGGGGAUAAGAACGGUGGGAACGUGGCCCUCCCUCGGGAGGGUGUUAUAGCCCGCCGUACGAUACCCUGGAGGGGACCGAGGUUCGCGCUCCGCAAGGAUGCUGGCGUAAUGGUCACCAGUGACCCGUCUUGAAACACGGACCAAGGAGUCGUCCAUGAGAGCGAGCGUUUGGGUGUCAAACCCGCACGCGUAAUGAAAGUGAAAUGAGGUGAGAGCUUCGGCGCAUCAUCGACCGAUCCUGAUGUCCUCGGAUGGAUUUGAGUACGAGUUUUCACGGACGGACCCGAAAGACAGUGAACUAUGCUUGUAUAGGGUGAAGCCAGAGGAAACUCUGGUGGAGGCUCGCAGCGGUUCUGACGUGCAAAUCGAUCGUCAAAUAUGAGCAUGGGGGCGAAAGACUAAUCGAA
rnacentral:rRNA from 1 species